GCACGUAUUAAUUUUUUCAUAUUCGUCCUUUUUUUAAAUUUGAUUUUACCAAUUAUUGACUCUAAUAUUCUAUUUAUUAAUAAUUUUAAAUUUAUCUGAUAUCUGCUACAUUCACACUUAUCUUGUAAUUUACAAUAAAAUAGAUUUGAUUUAUUGCAAUAAUAGAAGUGACAAAAACUGGGUUAAUAAUUAAGAAAAAUGGUCGGCACAUGUUUUUCAAUGUGUUCAGGAAAAGAAUGACGUCUAAGAGAACGAGAAGGUUUAUUACGCAUUUCAGAGAUCGAUGGAAAACCUAAAAAUCAAAGGCACAAAAAAGCUGAUUUCACUAAAAUAAUGAAAUGUUUUCAAAGAUCCAGUGUAGAGUUUCACUCCAAAAAGGCAUACGCUGGAGCUUAAUUUAUGAAUUAACAUUCAACAGGAUCCGGGCAAUAAAACAAGACAUGAUCAUAUAGAGAUUAGAUUCAACCAAAAGCAUUAAAAUUUUAGAACCAGUUUUUAAAUUUCAUAUUUAUGCUGCUGAAAGAAUACGGAAGAGACCUUUAAGGAAUUUUGUUCACAAAUUAAAUGAUCAGCAUUUACUGGAAUUAAACGAUUAGUCGUCCUGUACGACGAUAUCAAUUAUGCCAGCGCUGACGUUCACGAGGAAAAGAAACCAACGAAUUAAUUGGAAAAAAAAAAAAAAAAAACAAUUUACCAACAACCAUUGAAACUGUAUACCUCUUGCUUUAUGAAUUUGUAAUAAAUUUAUACCAUAAUUUAAAAUGUUACAUAAGUAUUUUUAGCAAUAAUAUUACCAUUCAAGUAAUUGAAUCAAAAUAAAAAAGAAGAGAACCGAAUUUAAAAAAUAUAUAUAUAUAAUGAAAACAAAAAAUGUAAA